UGACCAAAGACAAAGACAAGCACAUUUGCCUGCUAGGCAAACAAAGCCAGCAGGAGAGCAAGUGGGGAGGAAAAAAGGUAGAGCAUGUAACAGGGU